UACGGAGGGGGCUAGCGUUGUUCGGAAUUACUGGGCGUAAAGCGCACGUAGGCGGCUUUGUAAGUUAGAGGUGAAAGCCCGGGGCUCAACUCCGGAAUUGCCUUUAAGACUGCAUCGCUAGAAUUGUGGAGAGGUGAGUGGAAUUCCGAGUGUAGAGGUGAAAUUCGUAGAUAUUCGCAGGAACACCAGUGGCGAAGGCGGCUUACUGGUCCAUAACUGACGCUGAGGUG
rnacentral:rRNA from 1 species